GAGCGAGAAUGUCAAUAAGAGAACAGAUGGCAUACACUGCCUUGAAGAUUGGCGAGAAUAUACAUGACAAUUCUCCUUGCCUGUCCAAUUGAUUUCAACUUGUUCUGAUUUGGCCUCAAACAAGUCACUACAUC